GGGGCGUUGGUCCAGUGGUAAAGACAACGGUCUUUCAAGCCGUUAACACGGGUUCAAUUCCCGUACGCCCCGC
rnacentral:tRNA from 1 species